UUUUUUUUUGAUAAUAUGCGAAGGUCAACAGUAAGUUCAGGAUCACUUGGGGGGACUGUAUGGAAGAUAACGAGCAGAAGAAACCUAGCCAAACAAAAAAAAUAACAAGAACAUAAACCUCCUUUCCAAAGAGGGGUUUAUCCAGGUCAUCAAACCAAGGAUUCAGAAGAUGCCACCAAGCCUUCCCCUUGAAAGAGAUUUCUUCGCCAAAAUUUGAAUUUUACUUCUUCAAAAGAUCAUAUGUUCUGGCAUUCUUGAUAUCUAUAAGCCUUUUAGGUAACUGAAAAGUCAAAACAUUACAUGGAACUGAAGAGGUGGUUGGUCAAAUAAAGGUCUUGGAAACUACCACAAAGUUACCUUACUUAGUCUUGGAAACUACCACAAGGUUACAUAACUACCUCAAGUUAACGCUAUCAUUUGGUGCUCUCAUUGUUCACCUUCUACCUUUCAACCUUAUGGUUGGAGGUUCCCAUGCAGUCUUUACCAAUGAAUGCCUAGCCUUCGAUGAUGAUAAACUCUUUGAGAUUGUGGACAUCAUCUAUGAGGUAUAGGUUCAAUUAACAUUGCUUAAUGAAGCAAGAACAAAUGGAAAAAUCCACCGCCAUUCCGUCUAUUCAAACUGCACCUUCCACUCACAUGCUAGAGCUCUUGGGCUUAAGUCCUUUCAAAUCCAUGCAAAUCACUAUUCCCAAAAUUCAAUGGAGAUAGCUUUGAAACAUGGAUGCAAAAAAUAUAGCACUAUCAUAGCUAUCACAAGCUCUUGGAUUUGGACAAGCUCACCUUCCAUUUGGAUGGACUGACCAAAGAGCGGUUCCUUUGGCUCACAAAGGCAAAAAGCCUCUCUUGUUAGGAAGGUUUUUUUUUUUCACCCUUCACACUAGUUUAGACUAUUUAAACAUCGAGAUUUACAAAGUGAACUUACAAAAAUGUUGCAAACAACCAUGAUUGCUGACUAUCAACUCCAAUUUGAGACAUUGUCAAAUUAAAGUAUUGUAGUUAAUAAACUAUUUAUGGAGAGUAGCUUCAAAUUGGUAUUUAGACUAGGCAUUAGAAAGGUGGUUGGCCUUCACUGUUUGACUUCUCUUGAUGAAGCAAUUACGCUAACCAAACUAAUUGAGGACAAGCUCAAUGACAAUGCCUACACUGGCUAUUCCGUCCUUCCCCCACACCCAUGCCAAUCUUGUCAUACCCAGAUACACUUGCAAUUCUUACCAGGAAAUUAACCCCAACAAUUUUCCCAUCCUAAUUGUAGACAAUAUGCUUAAUGAUCUACAUGGCACCACUACUUACUCUAAAUCAGGCCUCAAAGCCGGAUGACCAAAUAAGAAUGGCAACUCAAGACAUCUAAAAAAUGGACUCUUUAUGCAUGAUGGUCAUUAUGAAUUUUCUACAAUGCCAUUCGGCCUCAUUAAUGCACCUUCCAAAUUCCAAAUCCUCAUGAACAAAAUUCUUAAAUGAUUCUUAUGAAAACUCAUCAUUGUCUGCUUUAACGACAUCCUCAUCUAUUGUUCUACAAUAGAACUUUAUCUUAGCCAUCUUUGUACGAUCUAUGAUUGCCUAUGCCAUAAUUAGCUACUCCAACAAUCCAAAUAUUCUAUUGUCCAAGCCAACAUUUAAUAUUUAGGCCAUACGGUCUCCUUAGCAAGGACAAAAUUCAAGACAUAACCCAUUGGCCGAAGCCAACCUAUAUGAAAAACCACUAUUGUUACGUAGGCCUAGCUGGCUAUUUACCAAAAGUUAAUCCAUAUGUUAUUUCGCGUUGUAGCACCCUUAAUAAAUCUUCUACAGUGAGACUUCUUCAAAUGGUUAUCAAAAUCACAAGAAGCCAUCUUCAUAGAUGGUAACUGAAUUUUCAAAACUAUUUCUCAUGGAUGCAGAUGCUUGGGGAUUUGGCAGUAUUGCUGUCUUGCGCCUUGACGAUAAACCUAUGCCAUAUUUUAGCAAAAAGUUGAAUCACAAGACGCAUUAAGCCCAUACUUUUGCUCGCAAACUUUUUGCGAUCACCGAAGAAAAAGCCAUCAAAUGGUAUCAUUACUUGGCUUCACUAUCUGUAUUGGAGUACCUGCGAACUCAUGACACAGUGUCACAGCUAAUCUAAACUUCAAAGCAACUACUCUUUAUACUCGAACUACUUUGCUAUGAGUUUUCAAAUUUAUACAAGCCGGGCACACACAAUCAAGUGGCUGAUGCAUGUUUCACAUACUCGGUUAACAACAUAAGAUUACUCUACAUAGCUACAACCACCCAGAUUUGCAAGUACGUGAGACUUAUUUUCAAAAAAAGAAUGCAUCCUGCUGGCAGCAUUCUCUACAGGUGAUUGCAAUUUGUCACUUUGGGAUACGAAGAACUUUGCACUAAGAACGCACUUCUAUUAGCUAAUGCAAACUGAUGUCCAAAAAUUUAUCAAUUCAGGCGACAUUUGCCAAGCAAAAAGUACCGACCUCUUGCUGCAGCAAGGCCAUUACAGCCACGUCCAAUCGUAGAAGAAUUGUGUAUAAACAUCUCAUUUGAUUUUAUUGAUCUUUUGUCACCUGCUGAUAACAAAUCAACACCAUUAUGAUGGUUGUUGACUGUCUAAAUAUGCACACUUCAUUCCCUUAAAACCUAAUUUCAUUGCUCUAUGCUGCCUUCAUGGCAUCCCCAAAACCAUCGUGUUGUACUCUAAUAGCAGCUUCAUGAGUGGUUUGUAGGGAACUGUACUCAAGAAGAUGGGUACCACACUUCAAUUUACUCCUGCUCACCAUCCCGAGACUGAAAAAUAAGCGGAGGUAACUAAUCAAUCAUUGGGGCAGUACCUUAGCAAUCAAACAACUUGGCCAUAAUUUUUGCUGCGGGCAGAAUAUUCAUAUAAUUCCUGAAGAUACAUACGUAUUCUGAAAGAACUGCAUAUACAUUCCUGCAGUAAAUGUUAGAACAGUAAUAGCAGAACACACAUAUGAAUGGCAAGCAGUAGUCAUUGUAUUCAUCUUUUACAUUAACCCAAACACACUUAAUGCUUGUAUAUAUAAAUACACUUAUAGCUCAUGUACUCUUUCGCUGGUGUUCGUUUUCUGACUCCUGUCUUUCAUGUUGCACUUCUCAAACCAUAUAAACACGAUUCUAGCUUCCACUCCCUAUCACUGCCAGCAAUUCAUUGCCAGUUCACCAUAUCUCCAACUCUCGAAAUCCUGAAAACUUGCCAAUUAUGGAAAGGGGAUAAUAUAAUUACUCAACAUCUUGUGCAAUGGUAUGAUGACUUCCCUGUACAGGAAGCCACUUGGCUUUCAGACCGUUAAUUAUGAGAAGUGUUGGAAAUUAAACUUAAUUUGGCCCAUUGUUAUUUGGGUUUUCUUAUUGAUGUCCAAAAUCUAAAGAAAUCUAUUGAAGAAGACUCUAGAAAUCUAUAAAGAAGUAAUUGUUAGAAAAGUCUAGAAUAUGCAUUUAAUGUCAUUUAUGAUAGAAUAUAUAAGAAUACUCUAGAGAGUCAUCCGUAAUCAUUAGAUUGAAAUGCGUUGGCAUAACCCUAGCGGUAUACUACUAGUAUAAAUAGUGAUGAUGUCUUUGAGUUUGUAUCAAGUCAAAAAGUGAAAUAAAAUUUUUCUAGUUUGUUUUUCUUUUCUCUUUAGCCUUCUCUUUUUCCAAAAUUCAUUUUCAUUCCAACAAAGUGGUAUCAAAGCUAAGUUCUUAUUUAGACAUGGCGAAUGAAGGUAUGGCUUCCUUCCAAGUUACAUUACUGAAGACAAUAGAUUAUGAUAAUUGGAGUAUAAAGAUGAAGACACUUCUCAGAGCACAUGAUGUUUGGGAGAUUGUAGAGAAAGGCUAUGAUGAGCCAAACGAUGAGUCAAUUCUAUCCUUAACACAUAAUUAGGAGAUUCGAGAAAGAGAGACAAAAAGGCUCUCUUCCUCAUCUAUCAAGCGUUAGAUGAUGAUGGCUUUGAGAAAAUCUCAUGUGCUACAUCAGCAAGCAAGCGUGGGACAAGCUCCAAGUAUCGUACAAGGGAGAAGAGAAGAUUAAAAAUGUAUUUCUUCAAAUGUUAAGAAGAUAAUUUAACGCCUUGCAAAUGAAAAAAGGUGAGACAGUCUCCGAUUAUUUUUCAAUAGUUCUUGCCAUUUCUAAUCAACUAAAAAGAAAUAUUGAGAAGCUAGAAAAUAUGACUAUCAUUGAAAAUAUUCUUCGAUCAUUAGAAUCAAGAUUUGAUACUAUCACAACUAUCAUCGAGGAGAUAAAAUAUCUACAAGAGUUGUUCUAUGAUAGUCACAUCUUCUAGUUGUGAUACAUUCAAAUCUUGAUUCUAAUGAUCGAAGAAUCUUCUUAAUGAUAGAUACAUAUUCUAGUUCCUCAUCAUUUCUUUUUUGUUGAUUAGAAAUGUAAAGAUUUCUUGAAAAAUAAUCAAAGACCGUCUCACCAUCUUUCAUUUGCAAGUCGUAAAUUAUCUUAUUAACGUUUCAAGACAUACCUUUUUAAGCUUCUCUUCUCCAUUGUAUGAUACUUGGAGCUUCUCCCAUGCUUGCGUGGCUUAUGUAGCAUUUGAGAUUUUCUCAAAGCCAUCAUCAUCUAAUGCUUGAUAAAUAAGGAAGAGAGCUUUCUUGUCUCUCAUUCUUGAAUCUCUUAAACUAUCAUUUUGUGUUAAAAAGGUAAUUCGAGGAACCCAAAACAUCUACUUGUAAUGUGUUCUCUAAUAUAGUGAUAACGUAUAUCAAUGUACUUUCUUCUAUCUAAACAAUAUCUUGUUCACAUAUUUUGCUUGCACAUCCUUUCUUGUAAUACAUUAUCUGAUAUAGUGAUAGUGUGUAUCAAUGUGCUUGCUUCUUUAGAAACUAGAAAUUUUUAUUUCUUUAGAAAUUUUGGUAUUGCAACAACUCUUGGGUUAUUCUCAAAGCCAUCAUCAUCUAACGCUUGAUAGAUGGAGAAGAGAGCCUUCUUGUCUCUCUUUCUUGAAUCUCUUUCUUGGAAUGAAAAAAGACUUUUGAAACAAGUAAAGGCUAAAGAGAAAAGAGAAGGAAACUAUAAAUUUUAUUUCACACUUUUGGUUUGAUACAAACUUAAAGGCAGCACCACUAUUUAUACUAGUAAUACACCGUUAGGAUUAUGUCAACAUAAUUUAAUCUAAUGAUUAUAAAUGACUCUUUAGAGUAUUCUCAUAUCUUCUAUCAUAAGUGACAUUAAAUGCCUAUUAUAGACUUUUCUAACAAUUGCUCUUUAAUAAAUUUUUAGAGUCUUCUUUAAUAGAUUUCUCUCGAUUAUGAGCUUUAAUCAAAUGCCCGAAUAUCAAUAGGCUAAAUUAAGUUUAAUUUUCAACAUCCCCUCUUAAGCUUAAUUUUGUUACUCCAAACAACUUUGUCAUCCUGACAUAGUCUACAUACUUGAGUGGUAUUGUGAAGAUGUCAGCAAAUUGGUUUUGUGUCUUCACAUAUUCUGCUUGCAUUUACUUAUAAUAUAUUCUCUGAUAUAGUGAUAUCAUGUAUCAAUGCUUCUAUCAUGAAAAAUUGGAUUUUUUGCUAAUGUUAUUACAGGCUUAUUAUCAACAUGAAUCUUCGUUGCUUUUUCUUGAGGUGAAAGUUGUAUCUCCCAUGAAGAACACAUAACCAGUGGCACUCUUUAUAUCAUCCAUGUCGCCAGCCCAAUCAGUGUCGCUAUAUCCUAAAACUUUAAAACCUUUAGAUGACAAGUAGAGUAAGCCAAAGUGAAUUGUACCUUUGAUAUAACGUAAGAUUCUAUUAGCAGUCUUUAAGUGGCCGGUGGUUGGUGUCUUUAUAUAGCGACUAACAAGUCUGACAGCAUAAAUAAUAUCAGGCCUUCUUCAUGUUAAGUAGCGCAAACUGCCAACUAGGCUCUUGAAAAAUGUUGGAUCGACUCUUUCUCCUUCAUCGUGCUUUGAUACUUGACUCCACAUUUAAUAGGAGUAUUUAUAAGUUUGCAAUUAUCUAUAUUGAACUUCUUCAACAUGUCUUUUACAUAGCUCUCUUGUGUGAUAAAUAUCCCAUCUUUCAUUUGAUGGACUUCAAUGCCUAAGUAAUAGGCCAUGAGCGCAAUAUCAAUCAUCUCGAAUUCCUUAGUCAUUGCUUGUUUGAAUUUUUGAAACAUCAUUUGAUUAUUUUCGGUGAAGAUCAAAUUAUCAAUGAACAAGCAAACGAUUAAAACAACUUUAUUCUUAUUCUUGAUGUAAAGAGCAUGUUCAUAAACCCUUUGACUUGCAGGUACUUAUCUAUCCGAUUAUUCCAUGCUCUUGAUGCUUAUUUCAACCCAUAGAGCACCUUUUUUAACUUUAAAACUUUAUCUUCUUGCCUUUUAGCUUCGUAUCUUUAUGGUUGUUGAAUAUAUUUCUUCUAGAACUCCAUUCAAGAAGGGUGAUUUUACAUCCAUUUGAUGUAUCUUCCAUUUAUUUUGAGCUGCCAAGGAGAUGAUUAUUCUAAUUAUUUUUAAACGAGCAACAUGAGCAAAUACCUUAUUAUAGUCGAUGCCAGCUCUUUGACUGUAGCAUUUUGCCACUAAUUUUGAUUGUAUAGCUUGUAUCAUUUUGAGUUGUUGUCGUAGCCAAUGAAAAUAAACUUUUGACUUUUGUCAUUUAACUUACUUCUUUAAAUGUCAGAUAUGUGUACAUGAGCUAUGCUUCCAAAAAACUUUUUAGUUAGAGAUGUCGGGCUUUCUUCCGCUCCAUGCUUCUUGUGGAGUCAUUCCCCACACACUUCUUGUUUGUGAACGGUUGGCCAAAUAAACUGCACAUGAGACUGCUUCUUCCCAAAAUUCCUUUGACAGCCUCUUGCUUUUGAGCAUACUCCUUGCCAUGUCAAGGAUGGUUCUGUAUUCCCCUUUGCUACAUUUUGUUGAGGGGAUCCUGGGAUAAUUAGAGAUUGACGUAUCCCAUUGGCAUCACAUAAUUCUUGAAAUUCUUUUAAAUGAAUUCUCCUCGAUCAGAUCACAUAGCCUUGAUCUUGAUUCCACUUUCUUUCUCGACGGUGGCCUUCAAUUUAUUAAAUACGCAAAAUACUUCUAAUUUUUGCUUCAAAAAGUACACCCAUAUUUUUCAUGAGAAAUCAUCAAUGAAGAGAAGAAAGUAGUUGCUCUUGCUGAGUGAGCUUGACUUUAUUGGUCCACAGACAUUUGUAUUUAUGAGCUCCAAUGACUUUCGUGCUCUCGAACUUCAUUCACUUGGAAAACUUUUCCUGAAAUACUUUCCAAGUAGACAUGCUUCACAUAUUUGAUCGGGAUGUUUGAUGCAAGAUGUCGCACCAUCUCUUUCUUGGAAAGCAACUUCAAUCCUCCAAAGUUGAGAUGCUUAAAUCGGAGGUGUCAUAAUCAAGAAACAUCGUUAUGACAAGCUUUGAGGCAUUUGACAAUAUCAUUUUGAAUGUUUAGCUUCUUGACAUUGAUACUUUUGCAAUUAAAAUACCAAUAAUAUCUUUUAAGAGGAGAUAAUUAUUUUCUUAAAUGAAUAUUAUUUCCUUUCUCCAAAAGUUGUCCCAAACUUAAAAUAUUACUCUUCAUAUUUGACACAAAAUAGACAUUGGAAAUAUAUUGAUGCUUCAUGUUCUUCAAGCGAAUAAGGAUAUUACCUUUGCCUUUUACUUCUAUUUUUGAGUCAUCUCCGAAAGAUACAUUGCCGCCAACUGAUUCAUCAAGCGUAUUAUGAUAGAAGCAUUUUACAAGUACAACAAUACUUUUGGGUGCUCUAGUUUCUUUCUCACGAAGAAAUCCUUCGAGGAAUCAAAUGCACUACAAGUACAGCAAUUAUGAUAGAAGUAAGCACAUUGAUCACACUAUUACUAUAUUAGAGAAUGCAUUACAAGGACGAAAGUGCAAGCGGAAUAUGUGAAGUCACAAGACUAAAUUACUGAUAUCUUCACCAAGCCACUCAAGUAUGAAAACUAUAUCAAGAUGAGAAAUUUGCUUGGAGUUACAAAAUUACGUUUAAGGGGAUGUUAGAAAUUAAACUUAAUUUGACCCAUUGUUAUUUGGGCUUUUGAUUGAAGCUGAUAAUCUAGAGAAAUCUAUUAAGAAGUCUCCAGAAAUCUAUUAAGGAGUAAUUGUUAGAAAAGUGUAGAAUAGGCAUUUAAUAUCAUUUAUGAUAAAAUAUAUGAGAAUACUCUAGAGAGUCAUUUGUAACCAUUAUAUUGAAAUGUGUUGGCAUAAUCCUUGCGAUGUACUACUACUAUAAAUUGUAGUGGUAUCUUUGAAUUUGUAUCAAGCCAAAAAAUGAGAAAUAAAAAUUUCUAGUUUCUUUCUCUUUUUCUCUUUAUCCUUCUCUUGUUCCAAAAUCCUUUUUCAUCCCAACAAGAAGCCUAUACCAAACUCUUAUUCGAGGAAAUGUCGUUCUUCCACAGCAAAUGGAGAAUAAUAUGUAGUAUGUGCAUCGUCAGUAACAAGGAGAAUACACCCACCGUGGAACAAAUUAGCGCCACUCCACUGUGCAUUUGACGAUGACAAAGUGUCCAGUGUGCACCAACGUGGCUUAAAGAUUAUGCUAUUGAAAAUGGCUAGCAGAGGUGGAUGACGUUGGGUAAUAAUAAAAACAGAUCUCUAUUAUAUUAGGAAGAAGUUUGUUAUAACAGGGAAGCUUGUCUUCUUUCGUUUGUGAAGUUUGAUUUUGCUUAUUAUUACUAAAAUCUUGCGAGUUCUUUUUAUUGGCUAGGAUUAGACCAGGAAUGAGGAUAUCUGACUGUAACAGAAGAAUAGAAAAUAAUGAAUAUCGAAACUUCUUAUUAUUUUGUA